GCGCAAUACAUCUCGAUGAGCCUGGACAUAGUGCAUAAGGGGAACUGUCUUCCGUAUCAUGAGGCAUAUGAUUACCUUGCUGAAAUAACCAGCUAACAAAGCACUAUGAGGUCGGUCUGGUUCCAAGAAGGAGAAAAGCAUGUCCAUUAGCUCUUCCUCCUCUACUAGAGUCUUCAAGAUAACAUCAAUUUCACAAGUAAAGAUCUCACAGGCAAUAAAUGGGAACUUGAAUGCCCGUUUGCUUUCAGCAUCCUCUGGA
rnacentral:misc_RNA from 1 species